rnacentral:rRNA from 1 species
GGACUGAGAGGUUGAACGGCCACAUUGGGACUGAGACACGGCCCAGACUCCUACGGGGGGCAGCAGUGGGGAAUAUUGCACAAUGGGGGAAACCCUGAUGCAGCGACGCCGCGUGGAGGAAGUAGGUCUUCGGAUUGUAAACUCCUGUUGUUGAGGAAGAUAAUGACGGUACUCAACAAGGAAGUGACGGCUAACUACGUGCCAGCAGCCGCGGUAAAACGUAGGUCACAAGCGUUGUCCGGAAUUACUGGGUGUAAAGGGAGCGCAGGCGGGAAGACAAGUUGGAAGUGAAAUCCAUGGGCUCAACCCAUGAACUGCUUUCAAAACUGUUUUUCUUGAGUAGUGCAGAGGUAGGCGGAAUUCCCGGUGUAGCGGUGGAAUGCGUAGAUAUCGGGAGGAACACCAGUGGCGAAGGCGGCCUACUGGGCACCAACUGACGCUGAGGCUCGAAAGUGUGGGUAGCAAACAGGAUUAGAUACCCUGGUAGUCCACACUGUAAACGGUGAUUACUAGGUGUUGGAGGAUUGACCCCUUCAGUGCCGCAGUUAACACAAUAAGUAAUCCACCUGGGGAGUACGACCGCAAGGUUGAAACUCAAAGGAAUUGACGGGGGCCCGCACAAGCAGUGGAGUAUGUGGUUUAAUUCGACGCAACGCGAAGAACCUUACCAAGUCUUGACAUCCUGCGACGGACAUAGAAAUAUGUUUUUCCUUCGGGACGCAGAGACAGGUGGUGCAUGGUUGUCGUCAGCUCGUGUCGUGAGAUGUUGGGUUAAGUCCCGCAACGAGCGCAACCCUUAUGGUCAGUUACUACGCAAGAGGACUCUGGCCAGACUGCCGUUGACAAAACGGAGGAAGGUGGGGAUGACGUCAAAUCAUCAUGCCCUUUAUGACUUGGGCUACACACGUACUACAAUGGCGUUAAACAAAGAGAAGCAAGACCGCGAGGUGGAGCAAAACUCAGAAACAACGUCCCAGUUCGGACUGCAGGCUGCAACUCGCCUGCACGAAGUCGGAAUUGCUAGUAAUCGCAGAUCAGCAUGCUGCGGUGAAUACGUUCCCGGGCCUUGUACACACCGCCCGUCACACCAUGAGAGCCGGGGGGACCCGAAGUCGGUAGUCUAACCGCAAGGAGGACGCCGCCGAAGGUAAAACUGGUGAUUGGGGUGAAGUCGUAACAAGGUAGCCGUAGGAGAACCUGCGGCUG